CCUGCCGAAGCUCUGGCACCACUGGGGGAACUAACUGGGCCUCAAGGGGAAAGGAAGUGGGCUUUGGCUCCACCCACCCCACCCUGCAUCCUGCUGCACCCUUCUCCUCUCAGGGUGGGGCCUUGAGACCCUGAGAGAACUCCCAAACUGUUAAACAUCAGAUGUGCUGAAUUUGUGGACUCACAACUUCAAGAGGAAUGAAGUCUCAGAGCAAAGGAGGUUAGCAUUGUUCACAAUGUUCAAGAUAAAGAAUCAACAGCAAGGGUGGACAAAUGGCUACACUGAGACCAUGUCAUUUGCAAAAGCAUGAAUGAGCCCAGAGAAUAAUAUGUGAAGUGAAAUAAGCCACGCAUGGAAAGGCAAGUACGUGUUCUCACUUAUAUUUGAAAAACAAAAUAAUUGAGGGAACAGAAG